GCCGUCCGCGUCGGAGCAGGGGCAGGGACGGCCGGACUCCGGCGGUGGCGGCGGGUUGCCGCUCCCGAGGAAGAUGGACGUGGCGAAGCCUAGUGCCCCGGCUCCGCGGGACGUCCGGUAGACGGGGCCCGGCGCCCCAAGAAUGGCAGGAAACAGGAAUGAGCAUGAAGGACUGUGAAGACUGAAUUCCCUUUCCCUGAAUGGCUCCAAGUGACACUUGACCAUCCAGUUUGAGCUACACAUAUGCUUGAUUUGAAUAAUGAUGGGUUUCAUCCAACUCAUCAACUGAUAACCAUGUAUCACUGCAGUUCAGAACAGCAAAAGGAUGCACAGGACAGAGCAUGCUUGAACUUUGCUGACUAGUGACUGGACAGACAAGGAACAUGAAGAAGGGCUACAUCAUGGCGCUUCAAGUUAGACAUGUGAUCUUCUAAGUCUUAGGAGGUGGAUGUGGACUCAGCUGAGAAAUGCAAGGGUGGUACCUUUCAAAAAUUAUUUUAUUUCUAAAUAAAAGCAUUAGACUGAAAUGCCUUCAUCCAUAGCACUGUGCCUUCCACUCAACAGCCCAAAGAACUCUUCAAAGUCUUGGCCAAAGUUCUGCUUAUUGUGGUCAGGAAGAGACCACAGAUUUUGUGUGGACCAGUCAGACACAGUGCCAGCCACCUAAGGGCAACCAGGGUUCCCAGAGAAGGAAAAAUCCCACUGGGUCUUUUGCAGAUUUCAGAGAGAUGGCCUGGUGACAGAGAAGGUACACCGUGGGGAAACACAAUCAGAGCAUUUCACUGAUUCACCCUCAAUUCUUUCCCAUGGAGACUUCUGCCCUGCAACUCAGCUCUAACUGCCCCACUGUUAUGGCUAGCUGAUGGUUCAGAGCAGGUCUGGUCUUCUUUCUUGCAGCAGACCUGAGAGAACACAUCCCUGGGACAGUCAGGCACAAGCCCACAAGGACACGAGAGCACUUCCCUGCAUAUGGGCUCUGACCAGCGACGUGGCCUUCUAUCAACCCUGCUUCCUCCUGAGCUCAUCCAGCCCACUUGCUACAAAGCAACUAUUGCAGAGCAAAGGCUGACUAUACAGAUUCCUGUUCUAAUGUACUUGGGACUCAGAGUCUACAGACAGAACAGUUGCUGUAAACCCAGGAACCCCAAGCUAGUUGUUCUCCAGACACAGACUUGUUCACUGUUUGGGCUGUGCUACCCUGCUGCUCUAAUAAUGUGCUAUCACCCGUGUUUCCACUUGCAGAGGAUGCAGGUAUAAAUUAGAAUGACAGUUUAAAUCCAAUACACCUUGUCACGAUAUCCACAUUUUGAGGGAAGGGUUAAAAUCUGGAUGAUACAUACUUGCUCAGCACACCAAUGGCAAUCAGACAUUUGGAAAAUGUAGUCUUCUGACAAAAGAGAAACCUGGGAACAUCAGGCUUUCUCUUUAGCAGAGAAGGGCUGUCCACUCAGGAAAGCAUGUGUGCUCUUUGGUUUCCCCUGCUGUAAAAUCUCCAGCCCAGAGUGAAGCAAGCAGCACUGGCUCCAGAGGAGAGCUGCUGCUUUACUUGAGUCUUCUGUUUGCAGAAUGCAACUGGUUUAAUUACACCUAAACCUGUGUUUUAAAUGCUAGAAGAGCUGUCCGUGUUCACACCAACAUAUGAUCUUUCCAUUCAGCCAGCUGGCUUCUGUUACUGAGUUUCUCGUUAAUUAACCCAUUUGUUUUUGCAGGACUGUUCAAGGUUGAGGAAAGCAGAAAUCAGUGGCUAAACACAGGCAAAGCCUCUCUUGCUGCUGCUAUGGCUUUUGAGGGGAGUUCAAUUUUCUAUGCUCCUGAAUUUCACAAUGUUCAGAUUUAAAUAGCUAAGUCCCAGUGAUAUGAAGCUGAGUGACUGCAGCUAUUUUUUACCAAAAGUGUAACGGGAAAGAGAUCCUGGAAGUCAAAGGAAGAAAAAAAGUGUGUUAACAACAGUAGAAAGAACAUGAUGCUAUCAAAGGCAAUUUGAGAAUGGUUUAGGGACCACUGUGCAACCAGUACAGUGAUGGCAUGAUCCAGGGGAGCUGCUGUGGCAGAAACCUCUGUGAGAACGAUGAACCAAACCAGGCCCUGUGCCACCACACUUCUGGAAACAUGUGGGCCACAGCAGAGCCUGAGAUAGCCAUCGUUAAGACAUGAUGAAGGAAGAAGCCCAAGUAAAAAGCCUCAAGCCCUCUUGAGUGCAGUCACUUAGAGCAGUGCUCUGGGGAGGCUGCUUAAGCAGUGCAUGUGUUGAAGGCAAUGGCAGCCCUGAGCCACAGUGGCAACUCUGAGGUUGGGGCAUGUUGCCUUCCCUCUCUGGAGCAAGCCUCCAUCCUCUGUGCUUGUCAAAAUAACUAACACACAGCAGAUUGAACAAAUCCCUCCCCAGCCCUCAGGAAAAUUAUGUGAAAGGUCUGGUUCAAGCAUGACCUUGUCCUUCCUCCUGUGCUGUCAUGACACUGCCAGCCAGGGAGAGCUGGUUCUCAGCAGUACAAGGGGACAUACAUACCUGGUGUGGAGACCGCUAGAAUGUGGGUGGGUGUCCAAAAAAGAGGUAGGCAAAUACAUAGGCAGUAGCCCUGUCAACACAGGCAAACCAUCAAAGGCUCCUGAGAGGAAGGGUAUCAGAGAAGAAGGAGGACAAGAUCUAGGGAAUUUAUUUUGUGAAGUGUGAGUAAAACCAGGGAUGUACAGAGACACCAGAGCAAAGAAAGGGAACCAUCCUGCUGUUCUGUGAGAGCCAGGCCCAGCUCCAGCAUAAGCACAGCCCUAUCAGGCAGGCAGGGCACUUCAUGCUCUUCCUGAGAAGGUGUAAGGUUUCCCUCUGCCAUCAAUAUUUCCCUGUCACAAGCUUCCCUUUCAUGGCUGACCGCUGGGGUAGUUUAACCAGGCCUGGAACAGGGAUCUCUGUGCUCUCAGUAUGUGAGAUAACUACGGAGAUCCUCUGCAUGAACAUAGAGAAGAGGAAAGUCUCUCCCUUCUUCUGUAAGGAUUUCCACAGAAGAGGGAUUCCAUACAAACCCCUGUGCCAUGUAAUGCCCUGUUUCCUGUUCUGUGGCUGUGAAUUUGAUAGGAAGAAAAAAUUACACAUAUUGAUAACCCAGAGGUGUCAAAGUAAGCCAUACUGCUGUGUGCAGAACAGACAUGUCAAAGGGUUUGCAGACAAGAUUUCUGCCUUGUCUAGCCCUUCUUGCUCUCAAAGAUCCUAAAAGGUGGCCCAGGUUCAUUGGAGGAAAGAUCAAAUCUACACACUGCACUCAGCAUGGGGUUGUCUACCCCCUCUCAAAACUUCUGCUGUUGCAAGCAAAACUGCACGUCAGCAAAUAAAGAAAAAAUGAACCCAUGU